AUCCUUUUGUAGUUCAUGAGCGUGAUGAUUGGGUGUUCAUACGGUUGUAUGAGAUGUGCCACCCUUGAACCUUGUUACGACGUGGGCACAUUACCCGUCUGAUC
rnacentral:ncRNA from 13 species